AGAGUUUGAUCAUGGCUCAGGAUGAACGCUGGCGGCGUGCCUAAUACAUGCAAGUCGAACGCGAAAGGUCUGAAGCCUUCGGGCGGAGGGCCGAGUAGAGUGGCGAACGGGUGAGGAACACGUAGGUGACCUGCCCCGGAGAGGGGGAUAACCGUCGGAAACGGCGGCUAAUACCCCAUAAGCUCACGCGAGUUAGAGGGCGUGUGAGAAAAGCUCCGGCGCUCCGGGAGGGGCCUGCGGCCCAUCAGCUAGUUGGUAGGGUAAAGGCCUACCAAGGCGAAGACGGGUAGGGGGCCUGAGAGGGUGGUCCCCCACAUGGGAACUGAGACACGGUCCCAACUCCUACGGGAGGCAGCAGUAAGGAAUAUUGCACAAUGGGCGCAAGCCUGAUGCAGCAACGCCGCGUGCCCGAGGACGGCCUUCGGGUUGUAAAGGGCUUUUCUGGCUGACGAGGAAGGACGGUAGGCCAGGAAUAAGCGUCGGCUAACUACGUGCCAGCAGCCGCGGUAAAACGUAGGACGCGAGCGUUAUCCGGAUUUACUGGGCGUAAAGCGCGGGCAGGCGGUGGUCCAAGUCGGACGUGAAAGCUCCCGGCUCAACUGGGAGAGGUCGUUCGAAACUGGGCCGCUAGAGGGCAGUAGAGGGGCGUGGAAUUCCGGGUGGAGUGGUGAAAUGCGUAGAGAUCCGGAGGAACACCAGAGGCGAAGGCGGCGCCCUGGGCUGCACCUGACGCUGAGCCGCGAAAGCUAGGGGAGCGAACGGGAUUAGAAACCCCGGUAGUCCUAGCCGUAAACGAUGUCCACUAGAUGUCUGGGCGGAGCGCCUGGGCGUCGCAGCUAACGCGUUAAGUGGACCGCCUGGGGAGUACGGCCGCAAGGCUAAAACUCAAAGGAAUUGACGG
rnacentral:rRNA from 1 species